rnacentral:lncRNA from 1 species
GGCGAGUGGGGGAACCCGGCGCAGGAACUGCCGCUGCGGCCGGGAGCGGUGCUGCCCGGACGGGGACCCACGGCGAUCAGUGGGGCGGCAGACUGGAGAGCUGACAGCGCUCUGCACCCGCAGUAGCGCCCGGGAAGAGAACUCGAGGAAGCUGGAACCCCACAGGUCACCAGUCAAGAUGAAGGUAAGUGGAGCCAACUCUUCUUCUUAGCCUUGUGCCCCGGACGCUGCCAGUCCGGAGGCUGCAGUUGUGGAAUGGCAGCUUUUUGUUACUUAGAAUUGAUUUCUUUACUAAGAAGCACUUUAAGGAAAAUGACAUGUGUGUGUGUGUGUGUAUAAAUGCAGGCGGUCCAACACUCUCUAGCAGUUAGCACUUUGAGAAGAUCGGUGCAGUCUUUCGAUUUUCAAACACUUCAGUGUCAAAAACACCUUUCAAGAAGAAAAGCUUUUGUCCUGCUUUGGUUUUUGCAAGGUUUUUUUGUUUUGCUUUGCUUUUGCUUUCUUUAAAACCUAUACUUCCCCCUUUCCACUACCAAUGCCAUUUUCUAAAAGACAUGUUAUGUAGCUUGAGUAAGAGAGAUAGUUCUGUAUAUUUUUGGGGAAAGAAAGUAAACUAAGGUGAUGACAAUAUUUAGAUUGAUUAGUUCAGUCUUCAUAAUAUAUAUCUUAAAACGUGGAUUCUAUGUGUAGCUUUUGAAGCUUCCUAAUCUUACAAACAUCAGUGGCAGCCUGCUUGAAGGGAAAGAAAGCUUUCAUAACAUUCCUCAGAAUUCGGUAGGAUACUGUGGCUCUUGUUUGUUUCUGGUCAGAUACUUACCAAAAAGUAUUCCUCUUCAUUUUUUAUUCUUUUUAAGUAGACUGACAUUUAAACGUGCAUGAUUAACGUUGUACUUAGUGUUCGGUGUGUGUGUGCGUGUGUGUAAAUAGAAAAUAUAUAGUUGUUUUUGUUUCGGUUAUUUUGAAACAGUAUACUUUACCCGGGCUAGCCUGGAACUCACGAUGUAGACUCUCAAGGCUGACCUUGAACUCCCUUGACGUCCUCCUGCGUCUGCCCAAGUGCUGGCAGGAUGAGCAUGCUAUACCAUUGCCUGACUCGGUUUAAGUAUAUUACUUUCUGAAAUUCUCAAACUUCCUCUUAUAUAUUUUUUUUUAUUUUGGAGUGACACAACUUCCUUUAAUAUAACUUGGGAAAAUGAAAAUUUGUUUCCUACUUAAAAUAUUUAAAGUUAACAUUGAUAUCUUUGUACAUAUAAUGUUGAAUUGGUUGCAUGAUACAUACAGCUUUUGAAUUAGGUAACAUCACAGACUGAAAUAGCAGUUGUCUGUUACUCUCAAGAUUAAAAUGAUGUAUAAAUGGAAGUUUCUUACAUAUUUCAAUGUAUAAUUCUGAUCAUGACUAUUUCCUGUAAAUGGGUGUUUUCUUUCUUUUCUUUCUUUCUUUCUUUCUUUCUUUCUUUCUUUUUUUAAUUGUUUUGUUUUCCAUGAUAUCUCUAUGUAACAGAGAACAUGCUGGCAUAGAAUUUAAAGAGAUCUUGUUGCCUCUGCCUCCACCUCCUACCAUGCCCAGCUACUAAUGUCUAAAUAAAAAUUAUUUUAAGUAUACUGAGAUCAAAGCUGUAAACUAGAAAAGGCUGCAGCCUUUAGCUAUCAGUUUUCAUCUGUUGAACUUAGAUUUAAACCUUUCAUUUGCAACCUUCAGCCAAAGCAAUUUUGGAAAGAGGUUUCUUAGUUUCUUGUGUCUAGAGAUACAUUGUAUCAAAAGAUAAUGGCUUAGCCAGGCUUGCUGGCCCUGGCCUGUAAUCCCAGUAUUUAGGAGGCAGAGACAGCCUGCACCUUGUCCCAAAACCCCAAAGCAAACAAAAGAAGAUGUUACUUUCCUAAGCUGUCUCACUAAGCAUUUAAUUAUGUAUUGUUAAUAUUAACUUUGUAGCAGUAUUUCUCUUUAACCUAGAAAAUAGAAUCACCUGGGGGCCCCAAACUAAUAAAAUUUAUGAGACAUUCAUUAUAAAUACAUUUCUUCUGUUUAUUUCUUUCUAUCUCUUAUAUAUUAAACUGUAGAAUUUUUUAAAACAUGUACUUCAAAAAAAACAAAAAAC